AUGUUGAGUGCCUUGCCAUAUAUUUGCUUCUCGCACCAUGCUCAUCUCACUUGUUAUGUUGCAUUGUACCCUUGUCAUUUUGCAUUUCAUCAUGCUCAUCAUGUGGGUUGCAUUCUUCAUGUUGUGUGUGCAUCAGCCCUUACUAGAUCUCUCAAGCCAUAUGCCCAUGUAUCAUCACCUCUCCCUUCCUUCUUCCUUCAUGUUUUUGCAAGUGACAUUAUUCCCUCCUCUAUUAAUGUUCAUUUAUUUCCUGAUGAUCAUACUCAAUACAUUAUACCUCUAUGCCAAGUCUCAUCCCAUUUGGAGUUGUUUUGGUAG
rnacentral:rRNA from 1 species